AACGAACGCUGGCGGCAGGCUUAACACAUGCAAGUCGAACGCAUCCUUCGGGGUGAGUGGCAGACGGGUGAGUAACGCGUGGGAACAUGCCCUUCAGUUCGGAAUAACCCAGGGAAACUUGGGCUAAUACCGGAUACGUGCGAGAGCAGAAAGAUUUAUCGCUGAAGGAGUGGCCCGCGUCUGAUUAGCUAGUUGGUGAGGUAAAGGCUCACCAAGGCGACGAUCAGUAGCUGGUCUGAGAGGAUGAUCAGCCACACUGGGACUGAGACACGGCCCAGACUCCUACGGGAGGCAGCGGUGGGGAAUAUUGGACAAUGGGCGCAAGCCUGAUCCAGCCAUGCCACGUGAGUGAUGAAGGUCUUAGGGUUGUAAAGCUCUUUCGGCGGGGACGAUAAUGACGGUACCCGCAGAAGAAGCCCCGGCUAACUUCGUGCCAGCAGCCGCGGUAA
rnacentral:rRNA from 1 species